UGGGGAAUUUUGGACAAUGGGCGCAAGCCUGAUCCAGCAAUGCCGCGUGCAGGAUGAAGGCCUUCGGGUUGUAAACUGCUUUUGUACGGAACGAAAAAGCUCUCUCUAAUACAGGGGGUGAAUGACGGUACCGUAAGAAUAAGCACCGGCUAACUACGUGCCAGCAGCCGCGGUAAUACGUAGGGUGCGAGCGUUAAUCGGAAUUACUGGGCGUAAAGCGUGCGCAGGCGGUUUUGUAAGACAGAGGUGAAAUCCCCGGGCUCAACCUGGGAACUGCCCCUGUGACUGCAAGGCUGGAGUGCGGCAGAGGGGGAUGGAAUUCCGCGUGUAGCAGUCAAAUGCGUAGAUAUGCGGAGGAACACCGAUGGCGAAGGCAAUCCCCUGGGCCUGCACUGACGCUCAUGCACGAAAGCGUGGGGAGCAAACA
rnacentral:rRNA from 1 species